AUUAUUGGUUUUUAAUAAUCAUUUCUCUCAGGGGAUUGCAAUACGGUCGUCAUGAAUAGAUGACUCAGUUUCCUGAAAAAGAAGAUUGUCUACCAAUGGCCUAAGAACAAUUUUGGAAGACCAGGAUGGUGAGGGAUCACUUCCCUGAGAGAACUCAGUACUUCCAAAGGAGCUGUUGCUGGAAGUAGAACCCAGGGGCGGCUCACUGCUCCUGCCUCUGCUUUUAAUUCUGGUUCCAGUUCCAGCCUUCUGACUUUCUUGCCUGGGUUGACAACAUCUGUCUACACCUUUUGGAACACAAGCAAGUCCCACUCUCCCCGAAGUCCUGGAUGUCAUGAUUUGCUAACUCCUCACUUCCUGCCUCCAAGGGGGUGGAACAGGGCACACAGUACUUGUAUUGUGAAGUAUAAUCAUUUCUUUGUUUAACUGAUUUGAUUUUAAAUAUCGUCAUUAUAUUACUGGAUUAUUGACAAUAGAAAUAUAAACUGAUCUUCAGUGAAUGGCUGUUGAUUUUUUCUGCUUAAGUUGUGACAUAUCAACAUCUAAUAAAAAACUUACAAUGAUAAUGGCCA
rnacentral:lncRNA from 1 species